AUACCAGACCCUGCUCUUGGGAAAGUCUGCUGCUUCCCCUAGCCUAGGUUAAGGACAUCACUGGGAAACUUCCUGAUCUGGUAUGGCCCUUGGAGUAUUGCCGGUUACUGCUUUUCCUUGUGGGUGGUGAUGAAACCACAAGGUACAGUCCAGAGUUAAUCUAAAGUGUCUUCAGAGUCUUGGCACAAUUGGGGAGGGAAUCUGGAACACAGGUCACCUUUUCCUUCCAGCCACAGGAAGCAACACUGGAAGAAAUAGAUGGGCCCAGUCUGUUAAUACCUGACUGAGAUGUGCUGACACUGCUGCAGCACACUGGAAGAUUUACAGAGAAGAGCCAGGUGUUCCUCAAAUGAUAGAACUCACCACGGAAACUACUGGUACAUUACUAGUCCAUAACAAAAAAGGCUAAAGUUUUCACAAGCGGGAAUGAUUAAUGAAAUGCUGGAAUAUGAGGAAUGCAUAUUGAAGAAAGUGAUGUUUGAAAGUGGUAUGUUCCAUUAUGUUAGUGGAAUUAACAAGGAGCAUGGGACAUUCUUAUGACUGGUAAAAACCAGCUUAAUGUGCUUCAGGCGCUAAAUGGACAUUCAGCUAUUGAAACAAUGAUCCUUGCUUAAAAUUUUGUUUUCCUUCCCCAAUUCUUGGAACAUCUUUAACAAAAGGAGCAAAAUUGACACCACGGCAGUGCAAUGUCUUUUCCUCUUUCAUUAACUGGCAAUGGUUAGAUAAUAGGGGAAAUGUAAAGUAAAGUUACAGAUAAUAUAGCUUUGUUGUCAGGUCUUGGUAUUUACUGAUUUUUAGAGACUACACAAAAGGCAACAAUGUAUAACAGCUGUGGCAGCCUUAUAAUGACAUACUGACAUUUCAGAAUUGUAGAAUAUUGCACUUCUCCUUUUGGCAAUGAGUAUCCUGCAUUUAUAUUUCUUUUACUCCCCUUGUAAUACAAGCUUAACACUGACUGUUUUAUUAACAUUAUUUUAUUGUUCAAGUGUCAAGAUAUGCAAACCCUAAGCUUUAAGAUAUGACUGUAAACUCCACUGCUCUGCUCUUCUAGUGACACUGAUCAUUGAUGGAAAUGAAGUAAACCAGGUUUCCUUUUUCAUUGUGUAAGGAAUGACCUCAAUUUCUGCCUCAAGAUAAUGUUUUUGUUCCCUGCAAUGAUGAAUUCUGUGUAGAAUGCUUCCAUCAGAAGUGUAAAAGAAAACAGAUGUGUUUACAUUGUCUCCAUGGAGACACAAACACACAAGUUAAAUUCACACUAGCGUCAGGGAGAAGAUUCCUCCCUCUUUGUCUUCCAGAGAAGGAGAAUUGCAGAUGGAAUAUUUGAAGCAAAUGAGACAGAAUCCUCUACAGACGAUUUUUCUCUCUUGCCUUUUCAGCAGAGGGUUCUUUGAUCCUCCUUUGAUCCAGUGAAUAUUCUGGGAUGCCAUGAUGGCUGCUUGUAGUUCCACUAGUAUUUUGGCAAGAGUUCAAAGUACUGUAAGUUGUAUGAAUGUUUUAAGCAAUGAUAAUUCUCUAGAACUACUGCAUUCCAUGUCUCCAACAUUGGAGUAACUUCAAUUUAUUCAGUGAGCAAGUGUUAUUAAACCCUAUGAUGUUCCUUCUGCUCCUUGUUUGAAGGACCAUUAAUGAGGUUUGCAUAGACAUUAACUAUAAAAGGAUGUUUUUCUUGAAGGGACAACUCAAGUCAAAAGACUAAUUUUUAGAUGGAACAUCCUGAUGGUGUUAGUGCAUGCACACUUACUGGUGGGAACAAAACGGCCAAUGUUGGCUGGGAAGUCUGUUUUUGGAGGACUUGCUUGAAAAUUCUUGAACAAAAGCAAAUGUUCAAGUACAGGCUUCACUUCAAAUUACUGCAAGCAGAAGCAUUUAUCCUUCUUAUUGUCAUUCUUUUAGAGUUAUAGUGAGUCACUAUGUCUGAAAAAGUUAUGAAGUCUGAAUUGAGAGGAGGAGGUAAUAAUUCCUAGAUGAGAGCAGAACUGAUGACCUUUGUAUUAUACAGGAGCAGGAACAUAAUGCUUCUUGUUAUUUCUAAGGGUAGAAAACCCUAAUAAGCUAAAGGAUGAAGCUAAGUAAGCACUGUGAAGCUUCACUCAAGGGUAGUUACUCAAAUGCAUUCAGUUCAACUGCACUUAGACAUUUUUUCCUUUUUGUAUUUCAUUAUACCUUCAUGUAAAUGGACCUUUGUUUGUCUCAGUUCCUGGGAAAAGCUGCAUAUAUAUAGGCAGUUAAGAAAAAGACUAAUUAUUUGUCUCCAGCUUGGAGGAAACAAUAACUGACUGUGUAAGUCACAAAGUACCAAGUAGACAAAAUCAAUUGAAAACCAAUAGUUUUACGAACCUUGCCAGGCUGUAACAUACUUACAAAAUAAAGUAAUGCAUAACCAAUAGCUUCAUAAAUACUAA